UGGAUGCUGACGCAAUGUGAUUUCUGCCCAGUGCUUUGAAUGUUAAAGUGAAUAAAUUCAACCAAGAAUGGGUAAACGACAUGAGUAACUAUGACUCUCUUAAGGUAGUCAAAUUCCUCACCAUCUAAUUAGUGAUGCACAUGAAUGGAUUAGCUAGAUUCCCACUAUCCAUAUCUACUAUCUAGUGAAACCACAACCAAGGGAAUGGGCUUGGCAUAAUCAACAGGGAAAGAAGACCUUGUUGAGAUUGACCAUAGUCCAACUUUGUGAAAUGAAUUGAGAGUUGUAGAAUAAGUGGGAAUUUUUUUUGGCACUAAUGAAAUACCACUACUUUUAACAUUAUUUUACUUGUAAUUUUGUGGGGCAGAGACAGGGAAGUUACCAUAUUUUUGACCUUACGUCAUUUCAAAACCCUAUAUAUUAUUAAAUAUGUCAAAACCCCUAUCCAUGAGACUAUGGUUAAAUACAAAUGGGAAAAAAAAGGUGGAUACAAAAAUGCCACCCAUUCCUCGUAAGGGUCCUCCCUAUGAUCUUGUUGUAUCUCAUAAUGUUGCACACUCCAUUGAUAUCCAUGUGGUUAUCGAAUUGUUUUCUAUCCCUCCUCGUCAUGAAGAGGUUUUAUUUGCUACCCUUCUAUUUAGAUAUGGAAUUAGGAUUGCAAUAUCCUUUUAGGAAAUGCACUUAGAGCCAUUUACCCUUAUGCAACCCACCACAUGUCGCAAGGUUAAGAUAGUAUUUAACUUAUCAUGAAAUUAUCUUGU
rnacentral:ncRNA from 1 species